rnacentral:lncRNA from 1 species
UGAUUUAACUUCACCUUAGCAAACGCUUUUCCCUGCUGGAUUCCAGUGAGCUGCAUAUUUUAGUCAUAGAUGUUCAAUUUUGAAGGCUUCUCAAGAGACUCUCUUGACAAGUAUGAUAAUCUUUAUUAUCUAGACUUUUAUAGAUGAAAUGUUUUAGGUCCCAAGAGAUAUUAAACAACUUUCCCAUGAACUCAGUAUCACCAUCCUAAAAUUCAAGUCUUUCUCCUCCUAGUGCUGCCUCUGUCUAGAUAAAAUACUGACUUUUCCAAGGAAUGUCAAGAAUAGGAUCUGAUUUUAACAAAAGGCAUUCUUCUGUAAAUAUCAGAUUUGCUUUGACUUAUCAGUCCUUUAAGAAACACAGUGAAUGAUGUUUUAAAAGCACAGCAAAUGAGGUUUGUAAGCCAUUACAAAAAAUAUAUUUAAAAGUGUAUUAGUAUACCUUCUGUAUUAAGUAAAAUAAAACAGAUAAUAAAGGAGUUCCCAGGCUAGGGGUCCAGUCGGAGCUGUAGCUGCUGGCCUAUACCAGAGCCAUAGCAACGUGGAGUCUGAGCCUCAUCUGUGACCUACACCACAGCUCAUGGCAACACCAGAUCCUUAACCCACUGAGGGAGGCCAGGAAUCGAACCCUCAACCUCAUGAUUCCUAGUCGGAUUUGUUUUUGUUGUGCCAAAAUGGGAACUCGAUUUCCUUUAAUCGUAGAUAUCUUACAAGAUGGGUACUGCUAUUAUUAUCCCCUUGGAGUAGAUAAAGGAACUGGGGCAAAGAAUGAUUGUUUACUAGCUCACAGUCACAGACUCAUAAAUGAGGGAGCUGGGUUAGGAAAACAGGCAGCAGGGCUUUACUAUCAACUGCUCACCUCUGUGCUUUAUACUGUCUCUCAUUUUGCUUCUUAUUAGUUAACACCUCUCUACUUUAAACCUGAAUAGACAUUCAGUUUGCCCUAGUGAAAUACAGGCCUUAAGCUAGAAUCAGACACUUGAAAUUUAUUUCUGUAGAAAAUGAUGAUAUGUUAUUUUGAUGCAAAUGUUCACAGCACUACAUAAUUUAGUGAUUAAAUUAAUCCCCUUUGGUGAGGUGGGGAUGUUCUAGGAGGAUAACACCCUAACUUUAGGAAGUUGAGAGCUGCAUAUUUAUGCAAAUGUGCAUUUUCUCUGCCUCCUCCAUCUCAUCUCUUCCUGGGAAGAUCCUUGUGAUUACAUGUGUCACAAGAGACUCAGUUACAGCCUUGGGUGUUCACACACUGAAGCGUACGUUUAGAGACUGAGUGGGUAUAUUUGCUUUCAGAACUGGUCCUUGCCCAGUACUCCUUUUCAUCUGUACCAGCGAAUCUCCACCUUCAGCAUGCAUCAGAAGCAGCUGGAACACUUAUAAAAUAACACAGAUUACCUGUCCUUCCUCCAGAGUUUGGGUUCAGUGGGCCAAGGGAGGGACCUGAAAACUGGCUUUUCUAAGUACCCAGUGAAGGUGAAGCUGCUCGUCUGGAGACCACACUUUGAGAACCAUGGAUUCACCCUAAAAUUGUAACUGAAAGGAUUUAAGUUAUUCCUCCCCUUCCUUCUCUUUGCUUUUAAGCCAGUGCUCACUCCUAAAAUGCCUAGCUAUUUAUUUACAAGGAUUAGAAAACUUGGUGAACAGCCUUCUUGGGCCCUGGAAAAUUCCAAUAAAUCUGUUGAUAAUAUAAUGAUCAUUGAUAAGAUAUAGCAAUUUUGAUAAUAACUGACUGCAUUUAUUGAGUGCUUACUACAUCGCCAGGCCCUUGGUUGGGCCCAUUGCCUGUGUUAGCUUACAUAAUAAAACAAAAAGCAUAGGGAUCGGGGCUGUUCUUAUCUUAUCUUUAUUUUGGAUUUGGAAACUAAGGUUUAGAGAACCACCUUACUUUCUCAAAAUUAUGUAUACAACCUGAGGUAGAGCUAAAAUUGCAACCCAGAUAAUGGAUGAGUUCAAAAAGCUAUGCUCUUGGCCACCAUGUUUUUGAAAAUCUACAGGGAUGAGCUGAAUUUGAGUUAGGCUUAAAGUUUCAGCACCAAGUGUUCUCAUUUUCAUUUCUCCUUUUAUUGAAGCACCCUUAGGUCAGCAGGGGGAAAAACUUGCAUGACCAUAGACUUUUCAGAGGAAUUGUAAAAAAUGAAAAUUGCUGCUUGGAAUAUGACUUCAUCAUUUGUAGUGGUCCUCUUCAAAUUUCAAGAACUAAAAGAUUAAUGUUAAGAAAAUAAAUAUUCAUGGCUUACUUCUCAAUUAUUUGCUCCUGUCUUGAAAUAAGAAUUUCAAGAAGAGAGUGUUAAACUUUUUGAGGACAUAGAUCCAUUUGAAGAUCAGUUGAAAACUGUGAACCUUCACAUGAGGAAGGUACACUAAACUUUCUAUACUAUUCAGCAUCUAGCUGUAGGCUCUGUAUGAAGACAUUCACCUUAGAGAGAACACAGCAGAGAAACAUGUUGGGCUUUUAUAUCUGGUGGUUCUGACUUGGCAUUUGUCUCUUCCUGUUUAUGUGACCUUUAGAAAGUUAUUAUUGAGUCUUAUUUCUUUGUCCAUAAAAUGGUAAUAAUGAAAUGAAUAAUACCUAUCUAAUAGAAAAAUGCCUACCUGAAGAGUUCCUGUCGUGGCUCAGUGGAAGCAAAUCUGACUAGAAUCCAUGAGGAUGCAGGUUCGAUCCCCGGCCUUGCUCAGUGGGUUAAGGAUCCAGUGUCGCUGUGAUCUGUGGUAUAGGUCUCAGACGAGGCUCAGAUCCCCAGUUGCUGUGGCUGUGGUGUAGGCUGGCAGCUACAGCUCCGAUUAGACCCCUAACCUGGGAACCUCCAUAUGCUGUGUGUGCAGCCCUAAAAAGACAAGAAAAAAAAAA